GACGAACGCUGGCGGCGUGCUUAACACAUGCAAGUCGAACGAUGAAGCUGGAGCUUGCUCCGGUGGAUUAGUGGCGAACGGGUGAGUAACACGUGGGCAAUCUGCCCUUGACUCUGGGAUAACUGCGGGACACUGUAGCUAAUACCGGAUACGAGGCUCGAAGGCAUCUUCGGGUCUGGAAAGAAUUUCGGUCAAGGAUGAGCUCGCGGCCUAUCAGCUUGUUGGUGAGGUAAUGGCUCACCAAGGCGACGCCUGGUAGCCGGCCUGGGAGGGUGACCGGCCACACUGGGACUGAGACACGGCCCAGACUCCUACGGGAGGCAGCAGUGGGGAAUAUUGCACAAUGGGCGAAAGCCUGAUGCAGCAACGCCGCGUGAGGGAUGAAGGCCUUCGGGUUGUAAACCUCUUUUAGCAGGGAAGAAGCGAAAGUGACGGUACCUGCAGAAAAAGCACCGGCUAACUACGUGCCAGCAGCCGCCGUAA
rnacentral:rRNA from 1 species